GACGAACGCUGGCGGCGUGCCUAAUACAUGCAAGUAGAACGCACAGUUUAUACCGUAGCUUGCUACACCAUACACUGUGAGUUGCGAACGGGUGAGUAACGCGUAGGUAACCUGCCUGGUAGCGGGGGAUAACUAUUGGAAACGAUAGCUAAUACCGCAUAAUAUUGAUUAUUGCAUGAUAAUUGAUUGAAAGAUGCUAUUGCAUCACUACCAGAUGGACCUGCGUUGUAUUAGCUAGUAGGUGAGGUAACGGCUCACCUAGGCGACGAUACAUAGCCGACCUGAGUGGGUGGUCGGCCACACUGGGACUGAGACACCGCCCAGGCUCCUACGGGAGGCAGCAGUAGGGAAUCUUCGGCAAUGGACGAAAGUCUGACCGAGCAACGCCGCGUGAGUGAAGAAGGUUUUCGGAUCGUAAAGCUCUGUUGUAAGAGAAGAACGGGUGUGAGAGUGGAAAGUUCACACUGUGACGGUAUCUUACCAGAAAGGGACGGCUAACUACGUG
rnacentral:rRNA from 1 species